rnacentral:rRNA from 1 species
GUACGUAGGGGGCAAGCGUUGUCCGGAAUCAUUGGGCGUAAAGAGCGUGUAGGCGGUCCGAUAAGUCCGCUCUGAAAGCCCGGGGCUCAACCCCGGGAGGCGGGCGGAUACUGUCGGGCUAGAGUCCGGAAGAGGCAAGUGGAAUUCCUGGUGUAGCGGUGAAAUGCGCAGAUAUCAGGAGGAACACCGAUGGCGAAGGCAGCUUGCUGGGACGGUACUGACGCUGAGACGCGAAAGCGUGGGGAGCAAACAGG